GCUUCCUUUGAUUUUAAAUUCAUCUAAGUCCUUAGCUUACAAGGUUGAAGUGUAGUCCUUGGAGCAAGUGUGCUGAAAGCUGACGUGAGAGGGGAUGGUGAGAGAAGAUUUACCCAUGUAAUUAAUCUCACUUAAAAGGAUUUGAAUUUUUUAGAGUGAGGUGCUAUGAAUAAUGGAGUGAUGAUUUCACAUUGAUCAUUGGACUUCAUUCAUGUUCAACUAUUUAUAUGUUGAAAUUAACAGCAAAAAAAGGGGAUUA
rnacentral:misc_RNA from 1 species